GGUGUCCACUAUUAGCAUGAGUAUUGCAGUUUUUUAAUACAAGUUUUUACCGAAUUUAAAUUACAAGUAAAUCAUACUAACAAUAGAUAAAUCAACUUGGAGCCGGUUGGGCGCUUCUAGCCCAUAUUUUCGCUAAUCGUUGCUCUUGAGUCGUUCCUCUGGCCUUGUACCUGUUCGUUAUGAAGGUGUUUGAUAUAUUCUGUAUUAUCCGUCUCUUUAUCUCUUGCGGCCACAUGCGUCUGUCUUCUAGCCCAAACUGAAAUAUUAAAUGAGACUAAUGAGUCCAUGUUUAAUAAAAUAAUUUGCAAUUCUGCUAACCUACUAAAGAUGAAAGAAACUACAUAUUUGAAGCUAAAAUAAAUUUGAAAAUGUUGAAGCAAUUGCUGUUUUGUGUUAAUUCGAAAAUGUAAAAAUCGAUUUAUGAUUACAGUAAAAAUCGAUUUAUGAUUAGUUGAUUAAUUACACAGUAAAAAUCAAUUUAUGAUUACAGUAAGAAUCGACUACAUUUCUAAGACCAUUGAGAAAUAGAGAACUCCAACCUCCACUGGAGGAGUUAAUCGGUGGAUUAUCACAGAUGUGGAAGACAAUGGUGGACAGUAGAGAUGAAAUAGAUAUAAAUUAAUCAGUUAAUCGGUGAAGCUGGUUAAUCAGUUAAUUAUUAAUGUUGUAUCAUAUGUUAUUUUCUAAUUGCUGGAUCGCAAUCGAUUCCGAUAUUCAAGUAGUAUACUGGAAUUCUGGAAAUAAAAUUUGCAGGAGUUAAUAAAAUUUGCUGGAUAUGAAAUUCUUUUCAUCUGGAAAUAAAACCCCGAAGCCAAGACCUUCAGGAUUUUCGUUAAUGUUCAACCGUGAAGCCAAAGUCAUAUUUUUCAAAUAAUUAAUAAUAUAUCUCACCGGAAAACCUGUCGAUGAGAUAGAUAUAAAUUAAUAAUAUAUCUCACCCGAAAUCGCAAGCUCUGAAAGAAGGUAGAAGAAAAUCCCGAAGGUCAGUAGGAGGAUGAGAGCAGCAGGAGGAUAAGAGCAGCAUGAGGAGGAUCGAUUCUAAAACCUAAAUGGCUAAAUACCUAAAUUCCACCAGGACCCAGGUCCAGGGUUUUAUUUUUUAAUUUAUAAAAACCGGGGUGACCUGUCUGGGUUUCACCCUGCCUCGAUACCCGCCCCAGAAUAUGACCGGGGCACGGGGAAUUAGGGCAAACAAAUAAAAACAGGACAGAAUAUCUGCAUCGAUCCUGGUUACCACCAGGUCACGGAACGGGGUGGGUCCGGAGCGACUCGUCCCG
rnacentral:lncRNA from 1 species